GAUGAACGCUAGCUACAGGCUUAACACAUGCAAGUCGAGGGGCAGCAUUUCGCUAGCAAUAGUGAAGAUGGCGACCGGCGCACGGGUGAGUAACGCGUAUGUAAUCUGCCUGUAACAGAGGGAUAACCCGGAGAAAUCCGGCCUAAUACCUCAUAGCACAUAUUAUUCGCAUGAGUUUUAUGUUAAAGAGACUCGGUUACAGAUGAACAUGCGUUCCAUUAGCUGGUUGGCGGGGUAACGGCCCACCAAGGCAACGAUGGAUAGGGGUUCUGAGAGGAAGGUCCCCCACACUGGUACUGAGACACGGACCAGACUCCUACGGGAGGCAGCAGUGAGGAAUAUUGGUCAAUGGGCGAGAGCCUGAACCAGCCAAAGUCGCGUGGAGGAAGACUGCCCUACGGGUUGUAAACUCCUUAUACCUGGGAAUAACGGGGCGCUACGCGUAGCGCUGUGCA
rnacentral:rRNA from 1 species